rnacentral:lncRNA from 1 species
GCGCCGAGCGAUGGGCAUCUCUCGGGACAACUGGCACAAGCGCCGCAAGACCGGGGGUAAGAGAAAACCCUACCACAAGAAGCGGAAGUAUGAGCUGGGACGGCCGGCCGCCAACACUAAGGUGCGUGCGGGUGUUGGGGGGGGGCCUGGGAGAGACCGCCUUUCCCUGCGUUACAGCGUGGUUGCAGUGUACUUGAAUGGCUGUGGUCACCUUCAUGAGGCCCUGAUUCUCAGUACUAGGGACUGGGCAUGUUGUACGUGUCCACGUGCCGAGUAAAGAGUGGGGUCUGCGCGCCCCAAUCACCAAGUUUAGGGUUUAAUGGAUCCUGGGAAUGGGCACAUAAAUACUGCAUGCAAGCUUGGUGUAUUUUUACUGAAAUUGUUCCUGUGCUUGAGUGGUCUGGCUUUUCUCCUUGGAGGUAACUAGGGUGAUGAAAAAGUAUCCUUAGGCGUGGUUCUGGCCGUCUUGGUCACCUGUAUGCCACUUGCCAAUGCAAGGACUUGUCAUAGUUACACUGACUGUUACCUCCGUCUAGUUCGGGUGCCUCUCCCAGUCCCCUCUCUUCUUGAUGACCAUCUUUCUGGUCUCCUUGCG